rnacentral:rRNA from 1 species
CACACACUAACCAAAUAAACUGACCUCAUAAUAUGCACACUAUGAAGUUGCAAUAUAGCUUAUGCAGCAUGAGCCAAUUGAAAAGCUACCUUUAUAAGUUAGAAUCUGAGGACAGCCCAAAUGAUGGAAUAUAGGGUCUUUAUGGGAGCUCCAAAUCACACCCACCAGAUCACAUGACCCCCAAGAGGCCAAGAGCUCCCUCCCUCGCCUAUAAAUGAGAGGCAAAAGUCAUCAGACCCUUAGGCAACAAAGCCUACAAGCACUCAAAGGAAGAAGAGCAAGAAGACAGGCUCCCAGCCGAUACAAGGUAGGAGCGAACAACGUUAGGGUACUGUCGUUAUAUCCUGAGUUGAUAUGGUGACAGUGAGAGAAGAGACACGCAAAGGGCCAUGGACAGAGCAGGAGGACAUGCAACUGGCCUCAACCGCACAGGAAAGAGCUGUCGCCUCCGGUGGGUUAACUACCUCCACCCUGGCCUAAAGCGUGGGCGCAUGACUCCCCAUGAAGAACGCCUCAUCCUCGAGCUCCAUGCUCGGUGGGGAAACAGGUGGUCCAGGAUAGCACGGAAGCUGCCAGGGCGUACCGACAAUGAGAUCAAGAACUACUGGAGAACACAUAUGAGGAAGAAAGCACAGGAGAGGAAGAGGAGCGUGUCACCCUCACCAUCUUCAUCCUCAGUGACAUACCAAUCCAUUCAGCCACAGACGCCAUCGAUCAUGGGAAUUGGCGAGCAGGAACUUCAUGGUGGCAGUAGCUGCAUCACAAGCAUAUUGAAGGGCACGCCUGCUGACAUGGAUGGAUACCUCAUGGAUCAGAUAUGGAUGGAGAUUGAGGCACCCUCUGGGGUCAACUUUCAUGACGGGAAGGAUAAUUCAUACAGCAGCCCCUCUGGCCCUCUGCUGCCAUCACCGAUGUGGGAUUACUACAGCCCUGAGGCAGGCUGGAAGAUGGAUGAGAUAAAGAUGGCCCCACAAGUUAGCUACAGUAAAGGAAUUGGCCCCAGUUAUUGAAGCCAUAUAUAUUGUAUCAGAUUACUAAGUUACUUGCAACCUAGCAGAAGUGAAAUGCUUUUGUUGAAAGAACCAUUAGCAUGGAUCUAAAAAAUAUUUAUAUCUAUCUAGCAUUCCAAGUGUGCUCAUGUUUUAUGUAUCUACUAUGUAGCAUCUAGUGUGCAAGACAUGUAAUGCAAGGACACUUCCACUUUGUAUUCACAAUAAUCAGCUAUCUCCUGUAAGACUUUUCCAAUGCAAACAUGAUUAGCAGGUGUAAUAUCAAC